GUAGGUGGCAAGCGUUGUCCGGAAUUAUUGGGCGUAAAGCGCGCGCAGGCGGUCCUUUAAGUCUGAUGUGAAAGCCCACGGCUCAACCGUGGAGGGUCAUUGGAAACUGGGGGACUUGAGUACAGAAGAGGAAAGCGGAAUUCCAAGUGUAGCGGUGAAAUGCGUAGAGAUUUGGAGGAACACCAGUGGCGAAGGCGGCUUUCUGGUCUGUAACUGACGCUGAGGCGCGAAAGCGUGGGGAGCAAACAGGGAUUAGAUACCCUGGUAGUCCACGCCGUAAACGAUGAGUGCUAAGUGUUAGGGGGGUUUCCCGCCCCUUAGUGCUGCAGCUAACGCAUUAAGCACUCCGCCUGGGGAGUACGGCCGCAAGGCUG
rnacentral:rRNA from 1 species